CCUUGCGGAUCCGCGGYCGYUGCAAGUUUGAUCCUGGCUCAGGACGAACGCUGGCGGCGUGCCUAACACAUGCAAGCCAAAGGAAAGUGGCAACAUGAGUACUUKGCGCAAGGGUGCGUAAUGUAUAGGUUAUCUGCCCUUUGGUCUGGGAUAACUCAUCGAAAGAUGAGAUAAAACCAGAUAAUGAGGAAACUCCAAAAGCAAUGCCAAAGGAUGAGCCUAUAUCCCAUCAGGUAGUUGGUAGGGUAAAGGCCUACCAAGCCGACGACGGGUAGCUGGUCUGAGAGGAUGAUCAGCCACACUGGAACUGAGACACGGUCCAGACAUCUACGGAUGGCAGCAGUGAGGDAUAUUGCUCAAUGGGUGADAGCCUGAAGCAGCAACGCCGCGUGGGCGAUGAAGGUCUUCGGAUUGUAAAGCCCUUUUGUAGGGAACGAAAAACUCGCUUGGCGAGCCUGACGGUACCCUACGAAUAAGCCACGGCUAACUCUGUGCCAGCAGCCGCGGUGAUACAGAGGUGGCGAGCGUUGUCCGGAUUUACUGGGUGUAAAGGGUGCGUAGGCGGAUUUGUAAGUCGAGGGUUAA
rnacentral:rRNA from 1 species